AUGGAAUUGAAAUAGAAUUGACCCCAAACCUGAUAUGAGUUAUGAAGAGCUCCGUUGUUUUCCCAGGUUAGAGAGACUGAGUCACUACUCACUACUAAGCUAGGGGAUUCUCUGUGGUCCCGUAUUAGUACCUGGAUAUAUCUGCUAAGGCAUCAGAGUGCCCUGCCAACCACCAGACAGACUUACUGAAGCCAGGCGGUGUACUAGUCUCAGGGGCUGUGCUGCCACCUAUAGGCAGACUGCAGACUGCAGCAUAGCACGCAGCUCCGGGAGCGUGGUGGCGUCAAGUCUAAACCUAACCCUUCACCUACAGUAACUCAUGUUGUGAGGGUGAGUCACGAUGAGAGGAGAGGAUGCCCACCUUGAAGGAAGGUGGUUGUAAAGAUGCAAUCUGUGGUUUAAUUUCUAGUAGAACAUUUUGAAAAAAGGAUUGUUCUGGCAGGAUUGAGGGGGAGGAUCUCUACAAGGAGACUGCGCACUGAACUGCUGAAAUGGAACUACAUUGGUGUGUGUGUGUGUGCGUGCGUGCGCGUGUAUACUUAAUGCAACGUAAUCAGAAACUAGAAGAAACAGAAAGAGUAGUGGAAUGUGUCUCAAGAAUAGUCUGAAUUUGAUCCGAUUUCUUUUGUGAGAUGAAGAAACAUAUGAUGCACAUUCUUCCGUUGGUUUUAUUUCAUCUACUGCCUGUCUAAGACAGAGGAUACAUUAUGUAGAACAAGUACAGCAUGUCUUAGUGUGGUGAUGAACAGUGCGUGUGGAAUCUUUCCCUAAUGGUUAUCAUCACUGACGCAGGCAGCUCUCUGAAUAGGAAGUGUGUGGAACUACAGUUUUACUACUACUGGCACUAGAGAGUCAUGGUGCAAUGCAUUCUGUUGCGCCUUGUGACGUAAGCGCUGGUUGACUGUGGUGCGCGUCGUUGAGUUCCAGCGGCAGCAGAUUACACCGACUUCACAACUUCACCGACAACAUCACAAUCGGUGGUUACGUCUGACAAGCAUGUAUGCUAAGACAGUGAGGUGCUCUCUAAGACAGGGAGUGAUGCAACCAUAGAUGGGAUAUUGCCUGUGGGUGUAACCAUAAUAAUAUAGUGUCCUGUCUUCUAUUUCUACGGGUGGAAGAGCAGAGAGAUCACUGUAGGCUGUAGUACCGCUAGAGUCUGCCAGGGGGCAGCAGAGCACACACAAAGCGCAUGUUGUCGUGUUGAUAUUGAGUAUUGCAUCAUGAGAACUCGGGAACAGUCCACGGUGUACCCAGGUUCUACAGACCUCCUCCCUCGUUCUAUCUGCCUCCUCUGUCUCCUUUGACAGUGUAUCUAUGGCCCCCUCUUCAUCCAAUGGAGGAAUUGUGUCAAGGAGUAUUCCAAGGAAGUUGGUCCCCAUAUUGAAGUUGAUAAACGGCAUCCUAAAAACGAAACGGUUAUUUUAUAUGCAAUGUAUGUAGAAUGAGAUAAAUCUGCAACAUAUAAAGGUAGAUAAACAUACAACAUGCCUAGAUAUAAUUACAUGGUAUAUAGAUGACACGCACACACAGAGAUAGAUGAAAAUACCACGCAACAGACUACGAGAGGCCACGCAGGGCACAGUGAACGACAGAAGGCCCAAACAUAUCUGGACUGGUAUGUAGCAGCAUUGGUUCAGGGAGGCGUGCGACUUCAGGCCAGACAGGAUAAAUGGUGGGCAGAAAGUGACCACAGCUCCAGACUUUCAAGUGCUGCCUGUUGCUUGUUGGCUCUGAGCGGUUUACACCUCAAGUGGUUGAGUAGCCGGGGGAAACAACACAACAAGCUAAGUUCUCUAUUGAUUUAUUACUCAACCUAAAGUCUUUAUUACUCAACCUAAACACCAAAGACAACUAGGAAAAGUCAAUUCAACUGUACUGAAGAAAAAUAUAAACGCAACAUAUAAAGUGUUGGUCCCAUGUUUCAUGAGCUGAAACAAAAUAUCCCAGAAAUGUUCCAUACUCACAAAUUUUGUGCAAACAUUUUGUUUACAUCCCUGUUAGUGAACAUUUCUCCUUUGCCAAGAUAAUCCAUCCACCUGACAGGUGUGGCAUAUCAAGAACCUGAUUAAACAGCAUGAUCAUUACAUAGGUGCACCUUGUGCUGGGGACAAUAAAAGGCCACUCUAAAAUGUGCAAUUUUGUCACACAACAUUAUGCCACAGAUGUCUCAAGUUUUUAGGGAGCACGCAAUUGGCAUGCUGACUGCAGGAAUGUCCACCGGAGCUGUUGCCAGAGAAUUUAAUGUUUGUUUCUCUAUCCAACGUCGUUUUAGAGAAUUUGGCAGUACGUCCAACCUGCCUCACAACCGCAGACCACGUGUAACCACUCCAGCCCAGGACCUCCACAUCUGACUUCUUCACCUACGUGAGCAUCUGAGAUCAGCCACCCGGACAUCUGAUGAAACUGACAAUUAUUUCUGUCUGUAAUAAAGCCCUUUUGUGAGGAAAGCACUCAUUCUGAUUGUCAGGUCCUAACUCCCCAGUGGGUGGGCCUAUGCCCUCUCGGGCCUAUGCCCCCCCAUGCCCACCCAUGGCGGUGCCCCUGCC
rnacentral:lncRNA from 1 species